CGGACGGGUGAGUAACGCGUGAGAACCUGCCCUUGGGAGGGGGACAACAGCUGGAAACGGUUGCUAAUACCCCAUAGGCUGAGGAGCGAAAGGAGGAAUCCGCCUAAGGAGGGGCUUGCGUCUGAUUAGCUAGUUGGUGAGGCAAUGGCUUACCAAGGCGACGAUCAGUAGCUGGUCUGAGAGGAUGAUCAGCCACACUGGGACUGAGACACGGCCCAGACUCCUACGGGAGGCAGCAGUGGGGAAUUUUCCGCAAUGGGCGAAAGCCUGACGGAGCAAUACCGCGUGAGGGAGGAAGGCUCUUGGGUUGUAAACCUCUUUUCUCAGGGAAGAAAAAAUGACGGUACCUGAGGAAUCAGCAUCGGCUAACUCCGUGCCAGCAGCCGCGGUAAUACGGAGGAUGCAAGCGUUAUCCGGAAUUAUUGGGCGUAAAGCGUCUGUAGGUGGAGAUUCAAGUCUGCUGUCAAAGACCGGGGCUUAACCCUGGAAAGGCGGUGGAAACUGAGUAUCUAGAGUGCGGUAGGGGCAGAGGGAAUUCCCAGUGUAGCGGUGAAAUGCGUAGAGAUUGGGAAGAACACCAGUGGCGAAAGCGCUCUGCUGGGCCUGCACUGACACUAAGGGACGAAAGCUAGGGGAGCGAAUGGGAUUAGAUACCCCAGUAGUC
rnacentral:rRNA from 1 species